UACGGUGGGUGCAAGCGUUAUCCGGAUUCACUGGGUUUAAAGGGUGCGUAGGCGGGCAUAUAAGUCAGUGGUGAAAUCCCCGAGCUUAACUUGGGAACUGCCGUUGAUACUAUGUGUCUUGAAUAUCGCGGAGGUAAGCGGAAUAUGUCAUGUAGCGGUGAAAUGCAUAGAUAUGACAUAGAACACCGAUUGCGAAGGCAGCUUACUACACGAUCAUUGACGCUGAGGCACGAAAGCGUGGGGAGCAAACAGG
rnacentral:rRNA from 1 species